rnacentral:misc_RNA from 1 species
AAUUACUAAACGAUUUGGUGCAUCAUGUUUCAGUCGAGACAUCAAAAGGGUGUCAGCUGGAGCAAUCUGUAAGUGUUCAAUUUCUUAACAUCAGAAAAACACUUGGAGUAAAGACAAAGCAUCAAAAACUUUGUGGCUUCUGAUUUGUAUUUUUUCUCCUUAAAACAUCUGCUCCGCACAAGAAAGAAAAUUCCUAUACAAAGAAAGAAAAGCUUUAUACAGCCUCCAGCUGUGCAUACUAGAAUAGAAAGUACACAAAACCGAAAGUUGACGGGAUUUAUUCUCAGGAUAACUUGUAACCCUGACCUGUGAGUCACGACAUGCUAAUCACAUAAGUUUGUAGUCCUAAGCCCUCCGUCACUUCUCAGGCAGUAUUGUUGGUUACGAUUUUCUCGGUCUUUUGAUGUGGAGAAACUUUCAGUGAAAACUUUCAGAGAAACUUAUUGCUCCAAGCUAGAAGACAAAUUCUGGUGCCUCGAAAGGUGUGAAAGGACUUAUCUAAUCUGAGUGCUUAUUUUACAUUUUGCCAGCGGAAAAGGCGAACUAACAAUUCAACCGUGGGAUGAGACUGGACGUAUGACAUUCGUAUUGUGUUUGUGAUAUCAUACCAAUCUAAUUCGAAGAAAAAUGCCUCUAAGAGUGGUCUCUGUAGCAUCUGCCGUCAUCCUGCUUCUUUUUACCGGUACAGGCGAAGCUCAGACAGCAGACAACUGUGGUUCAGGCUGGAUACUUCUCAAUUCCACCUGCUACUUUCUGGUUCUGGAACCAAUGAACUGGUCUUCAGCUUUGACUAACUGUCAGGAAAAAGGCGCUGGUCUACUGUCUCUGAAAUCAGAGACAGAACAAAAACUGAUUGAGAUGAAACUUGCUACCCAUGAAAGAACCUGGUGGGUAGGACCCCAGCGCAGCACCUCAAGUGAUGGCAACUCCUCUGACAGCACUUUGGUGACACUUCAUGAGAACUCUUCUUUUUCGGGGGAAAUGAUACUUUGGAACAAGGGUGAGCCUAACAACAAUAAGAAAAAUGAAGACUGUGUAGAGAUCUACCCUACUGGUCUACUGAAUGAUUUGCCAUGCAGCUGGUCUGUCUCGUACAUUUGCGAGAAAGAGUUAGAGCAUAACAGCUCCCUAAACAGCUGUGAUAAUGGUUGGAUCCUUAUCUUGGAUUCUUGCUACAAGUUUUUUAAUCAGCACAUGCUAUGGACGGACGCACAGGCAAGCUGCAAAAACAGUGGUGCGACUUUACUGUCUUUGGACAACCUAAGCCAACUGCUGCAGAUUAAGAAAGAGAUGAAUCGUAUAAACAGUAACGCCCGAUGGUGGGUGGGCUUAAGGAAAGUAACAUCUGACAUUCAGUGGAAGUGGCUGGGAACGAACCGCUCGUUCGCACCUGAAGUUACACUGUGGAACAGUGGUGAGCCAAAUAACAAAGAGGGUAAUGAGGACUGUGUAGAGAUGUACUCUAGUGGACUACUGAAUGAUUUACCCUGCGACUGGUCUCACCUCUACAUAUGCGAGAAACAUUUACAGCAUGUUAACGACUCCAUCAGCAGCUGUGGUAAUGGGUGGAUUCUAAUUGCGGAUUCCUGCUACAAGUUUUCAAACCAGGCCACGAAGUGGACAGACGCACAGGUCAGCUGCAAUGCAGAUGGCGCUGACUUGCUGUCCUUAGACACCACAGAAGAACGGUUGCAGAUUAUUAAAGAGAUACGUCGUAUCAACAGUCAGGCCACGUGGUGGGUGAGAUUAAGGAAAGUAUUGCCUGAUGUUAAAUGGAAGUGGCUGGAAAAACCUCCAGUUUCAGCACCGGCAGUCACACAAUGGAAGAAAGGUGAGUCCAACGGCGUUCUAAGUAAAGAAGACUGUGUGGAAAUGGACUCUGACGGUCUGCUGAGUGAAGUGCCAUGUAGCUCUUCUCGCUACUAUAUAUGUGUGAAACAGUCAACAAGAGGAUCCAACUUAGAAGACAAUUGUGAGACUGGGUGGUUCUUGAUCUCUAAAGCUUGCUAUAGUUUACCUACAAAGACUAUGCCAUGGUCUGAAGCACAAAAGAGUUGUCAGGCAGUGGGUGGUAAUCUGCAGUCUAUCAACACUUUACACGACCUGAUAAAAAUUCAGGAAAGAGUAGAUCUGAAGAGCUCGCCGUGGUGGGUAGGGGUGAGGAGAGCAUCUGCCGACGGCACAUGGGAAAGAGACAAUGGUACACAAAGGUGUGGAAUGAUGGCGUUUGACGGCACGCUGGUUUACGAGGAUUGCACAGCGUCACACUCUGUGAUCUGCGAAAGAAAUCUUAUAACUCCAAGACCUCGACUAGAAUACACUACAGAAGCGAUUACUUCCACAUCAACCACAACUCCUUUAACCACCACAACGAUCACCUCCACCUCAACAGCAACUACAACUACAGCUACAACAAGCACCACGUCUUCUACGCCAGCGUCAUCGGUGGUCCAGGAAGAGUUACCUUCAUCCACCUGGCUAUCUUCGUCUUCAACGCCAUCGUCGACUACCACCACGGCUGCUCCCACCACGCCUGCUCCCACAACGUCUUCGACGAUGACGUCAACAGAAAAGAAGAAGAUCCCAAAGCCGAAACCACCAGAAACUUUGCCGAUCGAGAACCAUAGAACGUUGGAGGACUUGUACAAACUGUACUCUGGAUGUUAUCUCCAAGAACCAUGGGGUGGUGCGAAGGACAUGUCCUUCUUGUACCAGGAUGGCUCCAGCACGUGUCCAUCCAUUGAAGUCUCCCAGAUCGUGUGGCCUGAAACCUCGUAUGGCGUCACAAGAGACAUGAAGUGUAGAACCGGGCAGGGAAAGGCCUACUUUCACUGCGGAGGGAACCCGGUGUGCUGGCGUGGACAGCCCAAUGUUGAUGAAUGCGCUUCUCCAGAGUUCAAGAAAAUACUUGACCAGGUUAAGAGUACGAAUGACUCACAAAAUCCACCGGAACCGGAACAAACCGUAGCCUUGACAACGCAACUGGCAGACGUGACAGAGAGUGACGACUUAACUUCUGAUGACGUGCUGGCGACCUCAAAGGUCAUUUCCGGUCUGGUCACAAGCGGGGCCACCCAGAAGCUCAAGGACGAGACAGAAGUCGAGGCCAUUGUUUCUAAUGUUGUCAAGGCCGGCAGCAACCUGGUGUCCACCAACAAGUCCCGCAUGUGGACAGAAAUGCCACAGCAGGACAAGAUCCGCUCCGCUACGUCCCUGAUGGUGGCCAUGGAAACGGCCACUGUAGCCAUGGCAGAGAAGAUAGACAAACCCACUGUAAUCAACACUAAAGACGAAAAUAUAGAACUAGAACUGCGAGUGAUAAACAUCACUUCAGUUUCGCCAGAGGAGAAGGAGAAAAUCGUGUACAAUGCCGAGAAUUCAGAAAACACUUUCUCCAUCCCCUUGGAGACCCUCAGUCACCUCAGUCAUGGUGGACUGGCCAAAGUUGUCUUCAUGACACACUACACGAUGGGCGACAUCCUCGGCGACACCGCUGGUGGUGACAAGGCUGAUGAAGGCAAGAAACCUGACGACACCGUCCACACGAGGCCUGGCGACUCCAGCAAGGACGACGCCGAUGAUGUGGAGCAGGAGACACCUGCGCCGAAACUGGCUUCCUACAUCCUCAGCGCCUCGGUCGGAGGUCAAGGUGAAGGUCGUGUCAAGCUGCCGCAGCCAGUCACCUUCACCAUGAAACACCUAAAGAUGGUGCCAGCAGGGUGGGAUUCGCUGUGUUCGUUUUGGGAAAUCAGUGAAAGUCAAAUGGGGUCAUGGUCACAGGAGGGAUGCCGCGUGGUCCGCAGCAAUGCCAGUCAGACGACGUGCGAGUGUGAUCAGAUGACCAACUUUGCCGUCCUCAUGGCGGUUCAGGAGGUCAAGGUUAAGAGUACGAAUGAUUCACAAAAUCCACCGGAACCGGAACAAACCGUAGCCUUGACAACGCAACUAGCAAACGUGACAGAGAGUGACGACUUAACUUCUGAUGACGUGCUGGCGACCUCAAAGGUCAUUUCCGGUCUGGUCACAAGCGGGGCCACCCAGAAGCUCAAGGACGAGACAGAAGUCAAGGCCAUUUCCCUUUCAACGAUCGCCACUGCAUCCUCUACACCAGCGACAACGCAGACAAGUAGUGGGAAAGGCCAGCCGGAGGUAACAGUAACUACCAUGUCAUCAUCAGGAUCGUCGUCUUUAUCAAAUGGUGACAAUACAAUAUUGGAACAACCAUUCCAGCAGCUCACAAGUAGUAAAUUAAUGUGCUAUACCUUCCUUUUAUGCUAGCAUGCUACCACAACAAAAAUGUUCACCUAUGGCUCUUCUUUCUGGGUGAGGCUUAGAACUUUCUGAAUGACCCUCGUAGCAAAUUAAAUAGCAAUUUUUGCCUUAUAAAAGAUUAAGGUAUAUAUGGGCAUGGCGAAAUAAUGAGUGAAAAUGAAAGGACAUUGAUUUUUGUAUUUCUGUACAAACUAGAAAGAACUUACACAUGUUUCUGUGUAUGCUAAAACACUAGCACCUAUUUACAAAAGAAGCAAUGUGAUGAUGAUUCAGACAGUAAAUCAUAAACAUUAAAUAACAAUGGCAGUACCAGAGCAACAAUAAGGGGGAAAUUGUUGUGAGCAUGUAUGUGGGAGUGGAUGGCGAUUAUACUGAGAGGUAAUAGCACUGUAGUAUGGGAGAUGUGGAUAGCACAGACAGUACUGGGACUCAUUUAAAUAAACCAAAUUGCUGUAUUAUGCAUUCUGCACAAUGUGUAUGUUUAACUAAUCAUGUGACUUUCAGCUUUUAUUGUACCUCAUUAACUAUUUUGAUUGGGGACUAUCAGGCCUGUUAAUGUGGGUGGUAAUUUGUACAUCACAGCUGUUACCCACAAGCCCAGUUAUCAGGGGCAAAUAUCUAUGAAUUUCGUGUACUGCAUAAGUGUAUAAUAUAGUGUUUGUAGCUAAGGACGAAUACUUUUAUGUUGUUCAUCCAGCACAGCAAGAUUGCGGUUGUGGUCUCAGCUCAGGGUACUAGAUGAUCCAUAAAGCUGGAGUCUGAAGUAGGAAGCAUGCUUACGUUGAUAAGAUGUUCAGGUUCCUGAGACUUCAAAACAGGAAGAAGAGCAAAAAUUGUGGCCUGGGGUUGUCUGCAAUUUCAUGGCGAAGCUCUGGUGACAAUGCCAUGUGUAACGUUUCCUGUUGGCAGAAUCCAGAAAUUCGUUCUCUUGAUCAGUCUGUAACAGUGGAGUAGGGGGGAGAAAGAAUUCGUGUAUUUUAGGUGUCUAUACUCUCCGUCUGCCUAAAUUUAUGAACUGGUUUAUAUGGUAACAUAAACACUGAAUACACACUAUUUAUCAUUACACUAUUUUGAUAAUCAUGUAUGUGUAAAAUUAUGUGGAACCAGCGAAAAGACAGCACAUAGCUGACUUUACAGCAGUGUCAUUCCCUCUCUCUAGUGAAAACAGCAAUAGCAAAAAUUACAUUUUCCCUUACUUUUCAUGAAAAUCUCAAUACAAAAUUCUUGACCGUAGAAUCAUGAAUGCCUGAAUAUAAAUAUAAAAACACGUGGUUCCCAUAUUUUGGGAAAUGAGGACAGCCAUUUAUGUCUGGUAGUUAGAUGCCCAUUUCCACCCUUUACUUUUUUUUCCUUCUUAUUUUGUAAUGGAGGCGUGUCGGCUAGAGGUCGAGUAGGCCACAAACAUUUAGUAUGGUGGAUACCGGGAAAGCCAGUCCCAGAACCACGGACGUUCUGUUAAGAAUUAAUUUAUAAAACUUUUGUUUUCAUAAAAAAACCAAAACCAGCAGUAUCCCGUUCUUUUAACUUUCACAUGUUAUCUAGGCUGUGUCUAUCCAGACCUUUGCUCCGAUGACGAGCACGAGCGAACCAGCUUAACGGUUUGCCAGCUGGUACCAAUGAAUGAACGAAUAAAUGUUUUGGUUAUUUAGUUUUGGGGAAAUAGUACCUGCGUUGUGCCCAGCCAUGUGCCCGAAAAACUUGUACCCGCACUGAGAAAUUUUUUGAGAAUAUCGAGCGAGGCCAUGACAGUACUGAUGAUAAUUGUUUGGGAUUUAGAAUUCUAGAAUUGCUUAUUUUUUUACAGGGAGUUGCGUGUUCAUGUUCAGAUAUUCAAGAUCCUGAAAAAAGACGAUAAAACUAACAUUUGUUUCAGUUUCUGCACCUAUUACAGGGAUGGGGCUGCUGUUCAUAUCACCAGCAUCACAAAAUUGGGUAUUAUUCAGAGUAAAGGUUACAGCCCACACUAUCUUUCACCAUAUAUAAUGAAUUUUUUAAUGUUGAACAAGCGUAUGUGUAUAAAACAGGAUGUUGAAACAGGAUUUGAUUUCAGGAAACUUAGCUUGACACGUCAAUCCCAACAUACAUGCAUAAAUAAGUACAGUUCCCUAGGCAUUCUUUGUCAUUCCGCAGGCAGUCUUCAAAAGUGACGUGGAAACGUUGACCUAACAAUUGACUGUGGGAUUACACCGGAUGUAGGACUUGCCUGCACUGUCUGUGACAUACAGUUGCAAAUCAACGGGAGAUGUUCCCAAGAAUGGUCUGUGUAACAGCUGCUGUCAUCCUUCUCU